AAUUCGAUUGAGUUUGAUCAUGGCUCAGGACGAACGCUGGCGGCGUGCUUAACACAUGCAAGUGGAGCGACGAACCAGGCUUCGGCCUGGGGCAAAGCCGCGAACGGGUGAGUAACACGUGGGUAACCUGCCCUGAUGAUCGGGACAACCCGGGGAAACCCGGGCUAAUACCGAGUGUGCCCGCGAGCCACAAGGCUCGCGCGGAAAGGAAGCUUCGGCCUCCGCAUUGGGAUGGGCCCGCGGCCCAUUAGCUUGUUGGUGGGGUAAUGGCCUACCAAGGCAGCAAUGGGUAGCUGGUCUGAGAGGACGAUCAGCCACACUGGGACUGAGACACGGCCCAGACUCCUACGGGAGGCAGCAGUGGGGAAUCUUGCGCAAUGCGCGAAAGCGUGACGCAGCAACGCCGCGUGGGGGAAGACGGCCUUCGGGUUGUAAACCCCUUUCAGUUGGGACGAAGCUUCGUCGGUGAAUAGCCGGCUGGAGUGACGGUACCUUCAGAAGAAGCCCCGGCUAACUACGUGCCAGCAGCCGCGGUAAUACGUAGGGGGCAAGCGUUGUCCGGAAUCAUUGGGCGUAAAGAGCGUGUAGGCGGCCCGAUAAGUCCGCCGUGAAAGUCCAGGGCUCAACCCUGGAAUGCCGGUGGAUACUGUCGGGCUAGAGUCCGGAAGGGGCGAGUGGAAUUCCUGGUGUAGCGGUGAAAUGCGCAGAUAUCAGGAGGAACACCAA
rnacentral:rRNA from 1 species